rnacentral:tRNA from 1 species
AUUUGUUGUAGUCUAGUUGAUUAGGAUAUUUGGCUUUCAUCCAAAAAGACAUGGGUUCAAGUCCCAACGAUGGAAA